rnacentral:lncRNA from 10 species
CAGCUUCUAGAGGCCACCCGCAUCCCCUGCCUCCUGGCCCCAUCCGUCUUCAAAGCCAGCAGUGGCCAGACGGCCGAAGCCCUGCAGCCCACGCUACAGCCGGAGAUGCAGCUCGAGCACGGGGCCAUCCAGAUUCAGUGAGCGGUGCCCAUGGCACCAGGAGCCCCUCGCCGGCUCCGCCUACGGCCCGGCCCCCACGCGCCCUGCUCUCACGGCCUCGGCACAGGCAGCGGCUGCACGUGUUCUGCUGAAGUGCGUCUGAAGGCCGCUGCCUCCGCGGGGAACAGCAUCCUAUCAACUGAAAGAGCAGCCGCCGCCGCCCCCAGCCGGAGACCCCUUUCGUUUGAGUCCUGCUGUUGGUGUCGGAGCACGAGGGGAGGCACGGUGCGGAGAGCGUCGCAUAUGCGCGGGAAAUCAAGAACUAUGAUAUUUUUCUGUUUAAACAGCUUUUUUUAAUUUGCUAUGGUGUUUAUAACAAAAAAGAAAAUUUGAAAAAAAAAAUCCCAGGGGAGUAGCAGGAGCCCUUUGCUGUGUGCUCUGUCCAGUGUCAUGAGACGGGAGCCCUUUGCUGUGUGCUCUGUCCAGUGUCAUGAGACGGGAGCCCUUUGCUGUGUGCUCUGUCCAGUGUCAUGAGACGGGAGCCCUUUGCUGUGUGCUCUGUCCAGUGUCAUGAGGCAGGUGUUUGCAAAGCCAGCUCUCGGUUCCGAUGGGGUAUUGCUGACCUACUUUUCUAGGGGAAAUGCUCUUAAACACUGUAAUUAUGCAUUUCUAAUGAAA